rfam:Lupinus angustifolius cultivar Tanjil contig_22465, whole genome shotgun sequence.
AGGUGUGAUCAUACCAGCACUAAUGCCCCGUAUCCGAUCAGAACUCCAUAGUGAAGUGUGCUUAGGUGAGAGUAGUACUAGGAUGGGUGACCUCAUGGGGAGUCCUCGUGUUGCACCUC